GUUCCCUGGCCCAGGCAGCGCUGACUCAGCCGCCCUCCGUGUCAGCGAAGCUGGGACAAACCGUCCAGAUCACCUGCUCCGGUGGUGUAACCAUCAGGGGUGUCCAAGCCGAGGACGAGGCCGUCUAUUACUGUGGUAGCUACGACAGCAGCAGUGGCAGCAGUGCUG